rnacentral:rRNA from 1 species
AGCGAACGCUGGCGGCAGGCCUAACACAUGCAAGUCGAACGAACCUUUCGGGGUUAGUGGCGGACGGGUGAGGAACACGUGGGAACGUGCCUUUAGGUUCGGAAUAACUCAGGGAAACUUGUGCUAAUACCGAAUGUGCCCUUCGGGGGAAAGAUUUAUCGCCUUUCGAGCGGCCCGCGUCUGAUUAGCUAGUUGGUUGAGGUAAUGGCUCACCAAGGCGAAGAUCAGUAGCUGGUCUGAGAGGAUGAUCAGCCACAUUGGGACUGAGACACGGCCCAAACUCCUACGGGAAGCAGCAGUGGGGAAUCUUGCGCAAUGGGCGAAAGCCUGACGCAGCCAUGCCGCGUGAAUGAUGAAGGUCUUAGGAUUGUAAGAUUCUUUCACCGGGGACGAUAAUGACGGUACCCGGAGAAGAAGCCCCGGCUAACUUCGUG